GCUGUGAUGACUUCCUUACUCAUCUGAAUAUUGUGAUGAGCACAAAUUGUCCUCUAAGAAGUACUGAGCUU
rnacentral:snoRNA from 10 species